rnacentral:lncRNA from 1 species
AACUGUUGAGCGGCGCCGAAAGAAAGAGUUUAGGUUUUAAAACAAAAGUAAAUGUUAGGUUUUCCUUAAAGGUUUAUUUUAGUUUUAAUCGCAAGAUCUGAAACAUCGUCGUCUGGUUGCCCUCGACCCGCGCGGUGACCCGACCCAAGGGCAGGAUCCGCGUGUUUUGGGUCUGAUAGGAUUUUUGCGCUCUUAGUCCUUUUUUGUAUUGCCUUCAAAUAAACCUUUAUGUUACGUCUAAAUUUGGCCAUGCUUUUUUGCGUUCAUUC